rnacentral:pre_miRNA from 1 species
UAGAUACUCCCUCCGUUCGGAAUUACUUGUCUCGGAAAUGGAUGUAUAUAGAACUAAAAUACGUCUAGAUACAUCCAUUUCCACGACAAGUAAUUCCAAACGGAGGGAGUAGUAC